rnacentral:rRNA from 1 species
AUUGAACGCUGGCGGAAUGCUUUACACAUGCAAGUCGAACGGUAGAGGGGCAACCCUUGAGAGUGGCGAACGGGUGAGUAAUGCAUCGGAACGUGCCCAGUCGUGGGGGAUAACGCAGCGAAAGCUGCGCUAAUACCGCAUACGAUCUAUGGAUGAAAGCGGGGGACCGUAAGGCCUCGCGCGAUUGGAGCGGCCGAUGUCAGAUUAGGUAGUUGGUGGGGUAAAGGCUCACCAAGCCGACGAUCUGUAGCUGGUCUGAGAGGACGACCAGCCACACUGGAACUGAGACACGGUCCAGACUCCUACGGGAGGCAGCAGUGGGGAAUUUUGGACAAUGGGCGCAAGCCUGAUCCAGCAAUGCCGCGUGCAGGAUGAAGGCCUUCGGGUUGUAAACUGCUUUUGUACGGAACGAAAGGGCUCUGGUUAAUACCUGGGGCAUAUGACGGUACCGUAAGAAUAAGCACCGGCUAACUACGUGCCAGCCGCCGCUGUAAUAC